rnacentral:rRNA from 1 species
UGGGAGAUAUUGCACAAUGGGCGAAAGCCUGAUGCAGCGACGCCGCGUGGGGGAUGAAGGCCUUCGGGUUGUAAACUUCUUUUGCUCUGAACAAGGCAUGCCUUUGGGGUGUGUUGAGUGUAGGGGUUGAUUAGCGCCGGCUAACUACGUGCCAGCAGCCGCGGUAAUACGUAGGGCGCGAGCGUUGUCCGGAAUUAUUGGGCGUAAAGGGCUUGUAGGUGGCUGGUUGCGUCUGUCGUGAAAGCUCAUGGCUUAACUGUGGGUUUGCGGUGGGUACGGGCUGGCUUGAGUGCAGUAGGGGAGGCUGGAAUUCCUGGUGUAGCGGUGGAAUGCGCAGAUAUCAGGAGGAAUACCGGUGGCGAAGGCGGGUCUCUGGGCUGUUACUGACGCUGAGGAGCGAAAGCGUGGGGAGCGAACAGG